rnacentral:rRNA from 1 species
AUUGAACGCUGGCGGCAGGCCUAACACAUGCAAGUCGAGCGGCAGAAGGGAACUUGCUCGUGGAUUCAGCGGCGGACGGGUGGGUAAUGCCUAGGAAUCUGCCUGUUUGCGGUUGAUAACGUCCGGAAACGGGGGCACAUACCGCAUACGUCCAGAGGGCGUACGUGUGGAAUCUUCGGACCUCACGCUCUCGGAUGAGCCUAGGUCGGAUUAGCUAGUUGGCGGGGUAAAGGCCUACCAAGGCGACGAUCCGUAACUGGUCUGAGAGGAUGAUCAGUCACACUGGAACUGAGACACGGUCCAGACUCCUACGGGAGGCAGCAGUGGGGAAUAUUGGACAAUGGGCGAAAGCCUGAUCCAGCCAUGCCGCGUGUGUGAAGAAGGUCUUCGGAUUGUAAAGCACUUUAAGUGGGGAGGAAGGGCAGUAAGUUAAUACCUUGCUGUUUUGACGUUACCAACAGAAUAAGCACCGGCUAACUUCGUG